UUCUCCACGGUUCUCCCUCACAUCACGUUAGGCUCUUCUAUCUAUCUCUGCCUAAUCAAGAGGAAGAAAUUUUUGUCUUUCUCCUGCCCGUUUCCAACUAUUCACUGGUUCUGAUUUGCCUCUGCAAAAGAUUCUCAUUGCCUGCCCUGAACUGCUUUUCUUCCACUCCUCUUUUUCCACCCUUAUCUUUCUCAGCAGUAAUCCAGAAGGAAGAGCAAAGAGGAGAAGCAAGAAGAGGUAAGGCAAGGACCAGUAAGAACCUCAGACUUUCAAUGCAAAGCAAAAGAAAACGAAGAAAGGGCACCACAAUCUGCCUCCCUUGCAUGCCAGACCAGCUGGUGCCGACUCUGGCUCUGAUUAUGAAGGCAUUAUGAGCUGCUUGCUCCAGAACUGGGUGUUGACAGCUUUCUGCUGCUUGCUGCUUUGUCAUUCAGGUUUUGUGAAGGCAGAUCCACAACCUGGUGAUUUGCGGAGGUGGGUUCCAAAUUCCAAUUGGCGCAAAAGUUGGGGUAUUUCAGAAAUCAUAUAUCCCACCAGGCUGAUGAAACAUAAUUCUGGGGGAGAGAUCCAGAGGUAUCAGCUGGACACAAGAGUGAGAAAAGAGACUGGUGGCAGCAGAGGAGGCGACAGAAAAGGAGGAAGCCCUGUUAUCCAUCUGGCCCAAGUGAGUUUCCUCAUCCCUGCCUUUGGUUUAACCUUCACUUUGGACCUUGAACUGAACCACCAUCUGCUGUCCUUAAAUUAUGUAGAACGUCAUUUUGAACAUGAUGGAAAUGCCAGCCACACCAUGGGAACAAGUGAGCACUGUUACUAUCAAGGCAAUCUCCGUGGAGAAGCAAACUCUUUUGUGGCUUUAUCUACCUGCCAUGGCCUACAUGGUGUUUUCUCUGAUGGAAAAGAUGCGUACCUCCUGAAGCCUCAUGAUUCACUUGAACAUCAAGCGCAGGAGCCACUUCCUCACCAAAUCUACCAGACACCAGUACCUCGCAUGUCCCGUGGUUGCACAGAACCAGGGUGUUUAUUUUCUGCACUGAACUACAACAUUCCUCCUGGGCUUCCUAAACUGCGUCGACGAAGACAGGUUCACCGAGGUCAUCGGACUGUCCACAGUGAGACCAAAUUCAUUGAAUUGAUAAUUGUUAAUGACCACCAACUGUUUGAGCAAAUGCGCCGCUCAGUCAGCCUUACCAGCAACUUUGCAAAGUCUGUGGUAAAUCUUGCUGAUGUGAUUUUUAAGGAGCAGUUGAACACUCGUAUUGUGUUGGUUGCCAUGGAGACAUGGGCAUCGGGGGAUAAGAUCCAGACUGAUGAAGAGUCCCUAGAGACAUUGAGAGAGUUUAUGAAAUAUCGCCAAGAGUCUCUUCCUGAAUACAGUGAUGCUGCUCAUCUUUUCUCAGGGCACACGUUUAGAAGCAGCCGCAGUGGUACAGCUUAUGUUGGAGGGAUCUGCUCAGUGGCUAGAGGCGGAGGUGUGAAUGAGUAUGGUACUGUUGGAGCCAUGGCAGUAACAUUAGCCCAGACCUUGGGUCAAAACAUUGGUAUGAUGUGGAACAAGCACCGUGCUUCUGCAGGGGAUUGUCGCUGUCCUGACUUAUGGCUGGGUUGUAUUAUGGAAGAUACUGGAUACUACUUGCCACGGAAAUUUUCACGCUGCAGUGUUGAUGAAUUCAAUCAGUUUCUGGCUGAAGGAGGAGGAAGCUGUCUCUUUAACAAGCCUUUGAAGCUCCUUGACCCUCCUGAAUGUGGUAAUGGAUUUGUUGAAACAGGAGAAGAAUGUGACUGUGGGUCCUUUGCGGAGUGUUCCAAAGGUGGAGGAAACUGCUGCAAGAAAUGUACCCUUACGCACGAUGCCAUGUGCAGUGAUGGGUUGUGUUGUCGAGAGUGCAAGUAUGAGCCACGGGGUGUAACUUGCCGAGAAGCUGUGAAUGAAUGUGAUAUCCCAGAAACUUGUACUGGGGACUCCAGUCAGUGUCCACCUAAUGUACACAAACAGGAUGGCUACUUUUGUGACAAUGAACAGGGCCGGUGUUAUGGAGGCCGUUGUAAAACCAGGGACCGCCAGUGCAAUGCAUUGUGGGGGCGAGCUUCAGCUGAAAGGUUUUGCUAUGAGAAGCUCAAUGUUGAAGGCACUGAGCGUGGGAACUGUGGGCAUGAGGGGAGCCGCUGGAUGCCCUGUGUCAAGCAGGAUGUAUUGUGUGGAUAUCUUCUCUGUGCCAAUGCGACAGGAUCUCCACGUAUUGGUGAAUUACUAGGCGAGAUCACAACAAUGACAUUCUAUCACCAGAAGAAAUAUAUUGAUUGCCGGGGUGGCCAUGUGCAACUAGUGGAUGGCACAGAUCUGAGCUACGUAGAAGAUGGGACACCUUGUGGACCCAACAUGUUGUGUCUUGAUCACAAAUGCCUUCCUGUCUCUGCCUUUAACUUCAGUAUCUGCCCAGGCAGCUGGGGUGGCCAGAUCUGCUUCGACCAUGGGGUCUGCAGCAAUGAGGGCCAGUGCAUCUGCUAUUCAGAUUGGACAGGAAAAGACUGCAGUGUCUAUGAUCCUAUCCCAGAGCCUAAGCCUACUGGGGAAACAGAAAAAUACAAGGGUCCCAGUGGUACCAACAUCAUUAUUGGCUCCAUUGCUGGAGCCAUCUUGGUGGCUGCUAUUGUUCUUGGUGGCACCGGAUGGGGAUUUAAGUAAGCAGCAUCAAUAUGCACAUGUUGUGCUUCUCAAAUCGCUGUGCCCUUGGGCUAAUUUGUCUUGAGGACUUUCUCUCUGUUGCAUGUAUUCCAGGUGCCUUUUGCAUUUUGGCACUUAUUUGUGAAAAGGGGAAUUGAGCCCAGAUAUAGUUUUGGGCUGAAGGGGAGGAUCCUCUUCAGAGUGGAGUCAUACGAGUAUUCCACAGAUAGUCCUUGACUUAUAAUUAUUCACUUAAUGACUAUUUGAAGUUUCAAUGAGCUUUCCAGGAGCUACUUAUAACUCAUUUUAAAAUUUACAAAGCUACACUCAUCCCCACAGUCAUGUGAUUGCAGUUUUGAGUGCAUGACAACCAGUUCACCUUUGUGACUGUUUGCACCAUCCCCCAGUCACAUGACCAUGAUUUGUGACCUUUUUUUUCUGAUUUCUGGCAUUUACUUCUAGUUUCCAGCAAAAAAACACCCAUUGGGGAAAAUGGAUUUGAUUAGUGACAGCCACAUUUGCUUAAUGAUCACAGUAUUCACUUAAUGACCAAUGCAAAAAGAGUAAAACAACAACAACAACCAGAUCUGAUCAGAUAAUGCAAUGACUUCUGGCUGAAAUUCCAGGCUCAAUUAUAGUUGUAAAUCAGGGACUACCUGUACUAAAGGUAUCAUGCAACAAAAAUGGUAUUGGCAAGCUUGUUUCCAUGAUGCAAAACUUUCUCAUGAUAGUACAGUAAAAGCAUGGAUAUUCUUGAGCUAUCUAUGUCUGACUACAUGCCUGGACUGAAAACAGGGAGCAGGCUUGGCUGAUGGAUUGAGUCUUUACUGCAUUUUAAUUUGAAAUUAGUAUUGAGAAUCACCGGAAGGAACCAUCAGUGGAUAGAGAAGGAUGGCAAAGGAAAGUAUAUGCAAAUAAGGUGUUGAUCAAUAGUCUGAAUCCACUUCAGAAAAUAAGGAUUGGCUGCUUUAGGAUAAUGUGAUAAGCUGAGAUAUAUAUCUGAAAAAAGUGAAGAGAGACAGAAGGUAUGUAGUAUUUUGGAGACCCAAAUUGAUAUUUAGUUGUAUUUCUAGGCAUGCAUGGUGCUUGAUACACAGACCAAAGCCACCCUCUUGUGGUGAGUGUCCGUAUUUAACAUAUCUGAGGAUAGAGGUGAGGAAAAUACAAACAUGGUAUUUGCUUAAAGGUGGUAAAUUCCAGUCCUUAUCAUGAGAAGUUAUAUUGGAACAAAAAGUUCAGAAGUGUGAUAUAUUAAAACUGCAUUGUAGUGUUUUUCCACUAAUAAAAAGAAAAUAUGGUAAGUUUUAGGAUAUUUCUAGUGGGAUUAGAGAGAGCAACAAGAAAUUCAACUGGAAAUAUUUCAUAGCAAUCUACUUGCAAGGAUUGGCUAGUAUUGUUGCAAUUUUGUCAUAUAAUUUUUUCUCCUCUUAAGAUGAUUUUCCUAGUUUUCUGGUCCAACACAGGAUUUCUCCUUCUCAGCUUGAACAUAUGAUUGAGAAGUAUAGCUGGAAGGGGACUACAAAGUGUUCUCGUUACUUCCCCCUCCCCACACCCACACACCAGUUUCCUAAAUAUUAAUAUUGCUGGUUUAUUAAAGUUCAGCCAGAACCUUUUCUAUUCUUGUCGUAUUUAUAAUUGACAUUGCUUUGAAUUGGGCCACACAUGUCCUCUUUCAAACUGUCAGUUUAAUAAAUGGACUGCCUUCAGUUUCAUCUGUGUGAUUUGGUUGCAGAAUCACUGUGAAAGAAAUGGGUCCAAGGAUCUUGAGGGGUUUUUGUUUUUUUUUGGCCUUGGUAAAAGUGCUAUUUAGUUUUUAGUUCAUGAAGUUUGGUUAAUACUCUUGGCUUAGUGAGAAGAAGAACUAUUUGGCAGGAGAAGCAGUUCACCUUGGGAAAGAAAAGCAGAAAUAGGAGAGAAAUGGGGAGAGCUGCAGACUGACUGGGGGUGGCUAUUUUUCCUCUCUGAUCCACAUCAGGCUUCCUAUUAUGUUUUGCAUGGAUUGACACUUGCAUGAAUGAAGGAGCGCCUGACCUGGGAUUGCAUGAAUCAGAUACUGAUGGUGAUGGGGACAUUGGCAUGGAGGUGGAGUGGGGAACAAUAGUCCUUAAAUAUCUGUUCCAUCCCCCAAAACAGCCUUGUAAAACUCAGUCUUAAACUAUACUUCCACAAUUCUCAGCUUAUUGGUGGAAGAUGAUAGGAGUGUCAUCCAAUAUAUUUAAUGCAUAAGAAGUGGGAGAAGCUGCUUUGGGUACUCUGCUCAUAACAAAAGUUUGAGGUAAUCCUAUAACGUUAACUAUAUCCCACUUGGACCCCCCACCCAAGAUCUCUUGCUUCCUUGCAGGGUUUAUUGCUGGUAUGACAUGUUGUAUGGGUUGGUCUGUUGCACUGGGGGGGGGGUGGAAUAUAAAUUCAUCAGUAUCACAGUUUGGGAGGCUGGAAGGAAGGAGACAUUUGAGGAAUGAAGAUGAGGAAAACACCUUCAAUUUUUGUCAAAGACAGAAUAAUCACUUUAGUUUCUUAGGUCUGUAACAGUUCUGGAAUCACAAAUAACUUUUCUUGCUUCCCCAAUCACAUGAGUGCCAGGCAUUUGGAAUGUUGUUUUGGUUGCAAAAUUUGAGUUCUUUCGUCAUUGGUUUAUUUUUAUCAUCUGUUGAGAAAGGUGAUACAAGGAAUGAAAAAAGUAGCAGAGGGAACUUAAUGGAAGGAUAAGGAAAAUGGAGGCCCUCUGCCCUGCAGAAAAUCCCCUUUCCCUGGCAGCUUCUACAUUCCCUCUAGUUCUACAUGUGGUAUUCUUGGUGUGCAGUAAACUUUCUUUAAAACAAGCAAACAACACUGACAUGUAGUAUUUCCAGAAGAAAUGCAGGCUAACACAGACUAGGAACGUGAGGCCCACUUGCCUCGGAGAAUGUGCUGCAAGGGAGAGUGAAAUGAAGGUGCUCUUCUUUGUGAUAUUUCCAGCCUCCCUUUAAGUUCUGACAGGAGCUACAUGAUCUAAUGGAGUUCUUCAACGAUGAUGGUAAUUGGAUCUCUGCACAAAAGUUGUCCCGGAUGGUAAGAAGAAAUUGCAUGUUAAGCUAGUUUGCAUUACCAACCAUAGCAUGUGGCACGAAGACUGAAGGCAGUCAGGCCAAGAUGUACAGCUGAAGUUAUCUGCUAACCCCUGCUCCUCCUCUCUCUUUCCUUUUCUCUCUUCGGCUUGCAAAGGAACAUUCGCAGAGGAAGGUCUGGAGGGGCAUAGCCCCAAAUCAUAACUUGAUCUUUGUGCUUCUGGGUCAGUAUUCUCACCAUAGGGUGGAAAAGAAGGUAAACAGCACCUUCUUCCUUUUUCUUUUCCUGGCCAGCAAAUAACCAACACCCUAAUCUACCAAGUCUUCCAUUGCUUCCUGGAUAGACAAGGGCAGGAAUGAAGCCCUCCUUUGAAGGGGUACCACAUUGCUCUGCUUCAUUGUAUGGGAAAAGAUCUUCAUGAAGGACCUCCAACUCUUUUAUAUCUUGCCAGAUGCACUUUUUCCUCUCCUUCUAACAUUGUCUGGAAAAAAGAGAGCCCCAAAACAGCAUUUUUUCUACCUGUGCAGGUCUACAUAUGUGCCUCACUUUACUAAUCCCACCAAGGACUGUACCAUCUUGGAACCACCAAAAUACUACAUGCAGCUCAGGGGUAUAACAACACUCUUCAACUUCUGGAAGAUGCUACUUGGAAGACAUACAAGCCUGUUCCUUUCCAUGAAAGUAGUUUGAGCAAAAGUGGAUAUUUGGGAUAUUUAGAUUCUGCUAAAAUUGGUUCCAAAUCAGGGAAUUGUGUGUUCAUAGUUAAGGCUUAUAAAAUUAUUGGGAUGAAGAAAUGACAUGUAUUCAUCAAUUAUAUCCAUGCCCUUUAUUUCCAUAUUUUUGUUUGUAAAAGUUUGUGAGUUAAGCCUUUCUAUCAUGCUGACUGCUCUAGCCUAAAUGCAAGAGCUUGCGCCAUUCUAGAUUUAAGGGAAAGUAACAGAGACAAGAUGAUAGCAUGCUAAAGUAGCACUCUAAAUAGACCAGACUUAUUACCUUUGCCCUCUCCUCCUACUUCCAAAGGUUAUAUUUUCUGUUUUGAAUGUAAUGGCUAAUAGUGCCACAGUGGCAAACCAAUGUUGGAAAUAGUGACAGCUCAUAACAAAAUGCAGCAAGUGGCUUCUUGGUCGGGGAGUGAGGGCAGAUCUCAUAUCACAAGUUUCGUAAGUGUAUCAGAGUCCUGUCAAAAGUGAGAAUGGACACUUUUGAUUUAUUUAUGGUUGAUCUCACCCUUAUUUUAUUUCUUUCAUUUGAAACUUUUUUUUCAUCAGCACAAAUGGAGGGGAAUUAGGCCAGCUUCUAAGUUCCAAAACUGGAAUAAUAAUACACCAUCCUUAGAAGUGGAGUCACCAGUCAACCAGAAGCCAAUCAUUCAUAAAACUGUGAUUUUUAAAGACUCCUCCUCCUCCUCCUCCUCCUCCUCUCACAUCCCUAUUCUCUACGCCUGUAGCGUACUAGGAAAUUUCUGUAGUUGAGCAAGUGCUUCUAAAUUUAUUUUCAGUCUUUCAGAACAAUUAGAUUUAUAUGGGAACUAAUUCUAUGCUGAACCAAACAUGAAAGAAUUCAGAGAGUGGCAUAAGAAGAAAAGUUAAUAGCAAUGGGUAAAUUUUAAAAAAGGAGUGGGAAGUGUUGUGUGUGAUGAGAUAAAAUUUCUUCAAUAAUGUUUCAGUACAAUAAGGAAAUUGGCUAGGAGGCCAUACUACAAUAGCACAGCAGGUGUUUGCUGGCAGGUAUUUUGUUUUAAAGAAUUUGAGGGUCAAGGAAAACCAGAUGGAUUAUAAGAAUUUUGUUGUCCCUUUUUACCUUUGUGGUAGAAAGCCCGCCAUAUUAAAUGGAUGGUCCAUUUCAUGGACCAGCUAGUCAACAUAAAACCAGCCCAUCUCAGAAGGUGCUGAGUCUUUUUGAAGUAGAGAUUUUAAACCAAAAAUUUGAAGUCCCCUUUGGAUCAUAGUGGAUCUCCUAUAGUAGCAGAGGAUUGAAUGAUAUUUCAUCUCUUGGAUCAAAAGUUUUUCUCCCUAAAUAAAAGCUAUCCCACCAUCAUCAUGGUAGGUUGCAGGAAAAUUCUCAGUAAGCAGAUUCUACAGAGAGAAGAGUUACAUAUCCACUUAGCUACACACAAUAAACUAGGAUUAAACUCAGAUUAUUUAACUUCAGAGAGAGAAGCUCUCAAGAGAGCAGUGCUCAAACUGUCACAUCUAUUUUGACCUUCAGCAUUUCUAAAAACAACUAUAGCUUGGAUUCUUCCAGACACACACAUACCCUCCCCCAGCACACUUCUAUGUGGAAUAGCUUCUAGAACUACACAUUGCUGCUUUUUUGUGCCUUUUCAAAAUGUUAUGUUUGAAGUGACUGUGUUCUCUUUCCCCAGUGCAACCGCAGCAGAAUUUCUAAUUUCAAUGAGUACUGUCAAUUGUCUCCUUGAGUUUGCCUUCUUCCAGUGAAGACACAUGUCCACAUUGAUAAUUCAAACAGUAAUACAAGAGGGGGGGAUUCUUUGAAAAUUUUAUCCUUUAAGUUUCUCAAGAGUAGGUGAAAAGUUGCAAUAAAGUGAGUCUCAGUUCUCAGAAAAUUGGGAAAUGUCUUAAAAUUUUCUCAACAUACCACUUGAAUAGAUGUAGGUACAGAACUGCUCACAGAGUAAUUGAUAAGCUCUUGGAAAUUUGAUUGAUUAUGACUAUCAUGCUUGGUCCAAAAUGUUUCCUGAGGAAAAUUGGAAAGUUUUAUGCAAAUUACCAUUUGCAAGCAUUGAGCUUCCCUGAAAAUGUGGAUUGGAGCCUUAUUUAAGCAUCUGAUAAUUCUCCAAUCCAAUUCUGCAGGGAAAUUAUCUGCAAGCUUCUCAUUUGGCAGGAUCCCUAAUAUGAUAGCUAUUUACUUAUUUAUUUAAAACAUGUAUAUAGCUGCCCAUCUUGAGUAUAUGAGGACAGGCAACUAUUCUGUUCCCUACCAUGGCAAUAUAAGAAGGCCAACUUAUGCCAUAGGCUAUGCCAGAUGAGAAGCUUGUAGUUUCUUUUCUUUUGCUGGGAACAGGGCAAGGGAUUGUGUUUUGAUAGGAAACUGAGGUCCUUCUUAAUGAUAAUUGAUUAAAGCAGGGGUCUUCAAACUUGGCCCUUUUAUGACUUGUG